rnacentral:rRNA from 1 species
CCUCUAGACCCAAUGACUUCUUUUGCCUAGAGCUGAAGGAGUUUGCUACGUGACACCAGGUCAGGCGGGGCUACCCGCUGAGUUUAAGCAUAUC